UGACGCGCUCACUCAGAACACGUGCCGAAUUUGAGCUGAGACAGUUGCGUCCUCAAAGACGAAAAUGUCCGCUCGUAUGGCUAUCUUGGCGAUUCUUAGCUUCAUGGUCAGUAAAAUGUUUUUACAGCCAAAAACAGUGGUAAAAUAAAAACACUUUUAAAAGCAA